UACGGAGGGUGCAAGCGUUGCUCGGAAUCACUGGGCGUAAAGCGACCGCAGGCGGCCUGACAAGUCGGAUGUGAAAGCCCUGGGCUCAACUCAGGAAUUGCAUUCGAAACUGGUAGGCUCGAGUACGGGAGAGGGGGGUGGAAUUCCUGGUGUAGGGGUGAAAUUCGUUGAUAUCAGGAGGAACACCGGCGGCGAAGGCGACCCCCUGGCCCGCAACUGACGCUCAUGGUCGAAAGCGUGGGGAGCAAACAGG
rnacentral:rRNA from 1 species